UAGAGUUUGAUCCUGGCUCAGAACGAACGCUGGCGGCGUGCCUAACACAUGCAAGUCGAACGGAGUGAAGGAGCUUGCUCUUUCAUUUAGUGGCGCACGGGUGAGUAACGCGUAGAUAAUCUGCCUUGGACUCUGGGAUAACAUCUCGAAAGGGGUGCUAAUACCGGAUAAGCCCACGAUGGCGUAAGUCAUUGCGGGAAAAGGGGGCCUCUGAAUAUGCUCCUGAUUCAAGAUGAGUCUGCGUACCAUUAGCUAGUUGGUAGGGUAAGAGCCUACCAAGGCGACGAUGGUUAGCUGGUUGAGAGGAUGAUCAGCCACACUGGAACUGAGACACGGUCCAGACUCCUACGGGAGGCAGCAGUGGGGAAUUUUGCGCAAUGGGGGAAACCCUGACGCAGCAACGCCGCGUGAGUGAUGAAGGCUUUCGGGUCGUAAAGCUCUGUCUAGAGGGAAGAAAUGAUAGUCGGUUAAUACCCGGUUUUCUUGACGGUACCUCUGAAGGAAGCACCGGCUAACUCCGUGCCAGCAGCCGCGGUAA
rnacentral:rRNA from 1 species